UGUUCACCAAGAAAAUAUGGCUAGAAAAUUAUUAUUAACGUUCAAUAGUACUCUACCCACUACAACUGCAUGUUCCGGAAUCAACUCUAUCCAACAGCUUUUUGCAUAUGGACAACAAACACCAGGAGCAAUACCCAUUGUUGUAGGUUUUCAAGAUAAGCUGAU